AUUCUCUCAGAACUGCAGAGGACUGAGUCAAGUUCAGAGCUGUCUCCUCAUUUCUCCCCUGUUUUACAGCAACACCAGGAAUCAGCAAAAACAGGGAUGAAGAGUGACCCACUCCUCAUCCUCACUACCCCCAGAGCAUCAUCUCAGUGAUUCACACCUCUCCAGGGUUAGCCAGAGUGAAGUGUGUAGGAGUGAGUUUGAUGGUUCUGGUCUACAGGAGGUGUGCUGCCUGUCAGACCCACUUCACCCAAAAUCCCAAAGCCCCUGAUGACCACAGGCCAUGUGCUGUUUAGCCACUUUUUCAGCAGAGCAUGCUGGGAAUCUUACAGUUUCCACAUGAAAAGCCCUGAAGCUCCAAAAGCUGCUGUGAAAGCUGUGAGUGACUUUCAAGCCCUGUGUUUACGUCUCUGAGGAGAAGGCCCAGAUACUGCAGAGAGAAGAAAAGAAAAGCCGCGGUCUCGGUACCGUCGGCUGCACGGCGACACUGUCAGAGGGAACACAGCGGCGCUGCGAUUGUUUCGG
rnacentral:lncRNA from 1 species